rnacentral:rRNA from 1 species
CACGUAGGCGGACUGGUCAGUUGGGGGUGAAAUCCCAGGGCUCGACCCUGGAACUGCCUCCAAUACUGCCAGUCUUGAGUCCGAGAGAGGUGAGUGGAAUUCCUAGUGUAGAGGUGAAAUUCGUAGAUAUUAGGAAGAACACCAGUGGCGAAGGCGGCUCACUGGCUCGGUACUGACGCUGAGGUGCGAAAGCGUGGGGAGCAAACA